AAGUCGAACGAGAAAGUGGAGCAAUCCAUGAGUACAGUGGCGAACGGGUGAGUAACACGUGACUAACCUACCCUCGAGUGGGGAAUAACCUCGGGAAACCGAGGCUAAUACCGCAUAACAUCUACGGAUCAAAGGAGCAAUCCGCUGGAGGAGGGGGUCGCGGCCGAUUAGCUAGUUGGCGGGGUAACGGCCCACCAAGGCCAUGAUCAGUAGCCGGCCUGAGAGGGCGCACGGCCACACUGGAACUGAAACACGGUCCAGACUCCUACGGGAGGCAGCAGUGGGGAAUUUUGCGCAAUGGGGGAAACCCUGACGCAGCAACGCCGCGUGGAGGAUGAAGCCCCUUGGGGUGUAAACUCCUUUCGAUCGGGACGAUUAUGACGGUACCGGAUGAAGAAGCACCGGCUAACUCUGUGCCAGCAGCCGCGGUAAUACAGAGGGUGCAAGCGUUGUUCGGAAUUAUUGGGCGUAAAG
rnacentral:rRNA from 1 species